CCGCGGGUCCCAGCGCCUGGUUCGCGGGAGGGCCCGCCCGCCCCCUGCCACCCGGCCCCCGGCCCCUCCGCGCACCCCUGUCCCGGGGACCGCCAGGCACACAGCCCUCCACCUCAGGUCCCCGGCCUCCGCACAAUUCAGAGGCCACCUCUGCGGAGGGGAGGGCCGUGCGAGGCCGUGCGCCCCCGCGGGCACCUGGGGGGAACGGUGCCAGGGCCCCAUCGGGGACCCAACGUCAAAGCCAGAUGAACUGACCAGACAGUGGGGAAGUUUAACCAGAGGAUGCACCGAAAUGCAAUGUCAAGGUGGGAAGCUCUGGAAUGAUUUUUCUUUCUUCUUGUUCUGUCUGCCAAGUUUCUCACCAUGAGCACAUAUUUUUUAUCAUCAGGCAGAAGACCAGCAAAUUCUUUUUUAACCUCUCAAGAUCCUUUCCAAGAGUCCCCAGCCUGUCCCAGCUCUCCUCAUCUGCGGCUCUGGAAGCCCAGUGGAGGCCCAUGGAACCAAUGGGCACUCACGGGUGCCUGGGCGCAUGCCUCCCGGAUUCGAGGCUGGAGCUGCUUUCUCCCCGACCACAGGUUUGAGAGCCUGUGUUCAUUUCACACUCCAGGAAGCAAGGAAAAGUACUCUGCCUGAAGGCCUGACUUCCCGGGAGUUUCCAGAAACUGAUUUUCUAGAAAUUGCCCAAUGCCGCUAGAAUCUAUGCCAUUGUUUAAAACUGACUUCUGCCAAGGGAAAGAACGUGGAGUCAGAGAAUCGCAAAGAAUCCCUGGAUAGGACUUCAGAGAUCAAGUCCAACCUCCCUCCCUCUGAAUCCCGUAGGACAUGAUGCAAAGGCUGGUGGCAGAGAGAGAUGCUGAGAAGCAGAAGGAAUCAGGCUCGAGCAAAAAGGAGGGAAGAUAUGUGGUGUGGUGGACGGUGGGCAGAUGGUAAUGGUCUGAGCUGUGUGACCUCAGGCACAUUCUUAACCUCUCUGGGUCUCUGUGCUUUUAUCUGUAAGAUAAAAGAGUUCCUGCCUGGCCAGGUGGCUGUGAGAUCAAAGACACAUAUAUAGAGAAGAGAUGCUCCGGUAAGACUUCAGUAAGAUUCAGAUCAUUUCUAUGGCAUAAAAUGAACCACACUCAGAAGAAAAAUUGUCCCUCAACUUGGAAGAUUACCUAUAAUGUAAAAUAUUAAUGUGUUCUCUGGGA